rnacentral:rRNA from 1 species
UAGGGAAUCUUCCACAAUGGACGAAAGUCUGAUGGAGCAACGCCGCGUGAGUGAAGAAGGGUUUCGGGCUCGUAAAACUACUGUUGUUAAAGAAGAACAUAUCUGAGAGUAACUGUUCAGGUAUUGACGGUAUUUAACCAGAAAGCCACGGCUAACUACGUGCCAG